GAGACAGAGAGAGGGAGAGAGAGGGAGGGAGGAACAGAAUGACAGAAAGAGAGACAGAGAGAGAGGAACAGAGUGACAGAAAGAGAGAUAGGGAGAGAGAGGGAGGGAGAGAGGGAGAGAGAGAGGGAGGAACAGAGUGACAGAAAGAGAGAUAGAGAGAGAGAGGGAGAGAGAGAGGGAGAGAGAGAGGGAGGAACAGAGUGACAGAAAGAGAGAUAGAGAGAGAGAGAGGGAGAGAGAGAGGGAGGGAGAGUGACAGAAAGAGAGAUAGAGAGGAAGUAACAGAGUGACAGAAAGAGAGAGAGAGAGAGAGAGAGGGAGGGAGAGAGAGGGAGAGAGAGAGGGAGGAACAGAGUGACAGAAAGAGAGAUAGAGAGAGAGAGAGGGAGAGAGAGAGGGAGGGAGAGUGACAGAAAGAGAGAUAGAGAGGAAGUAACAGAGUGACAGAAAGAGAGAGAGAGAGAGUGAGAUAAGGAGGGAGAGAGAGGGAGGGAGGGAGAGAGAUAAGGAGGGAGAGGGAGGUAGAGAGAGGGGGAGAGAGAGAGAGUCUGUCUAUCUGCG
ensembl:lncRNA